AAAACCACUACGCGUCCCCAUAAUACUGAGACGGCAUUCACGUUGUGGGUCUUGUUGAAAAUACAGGUCAUUAUUUAACAAUACAACAAUGAACAUGAAUCUUGUUAUCAUACAAUCACAUGGCCAAACAGCACACAAACAAAACUAUCAAUAGAAAUCCUGAGCUAAUACUUUUGGUCAUGUGCUACAAGGUCAUAAAAUAUUCAACAGGUGCAAAAGUAACGUAAAAAUUGAUGGUCAUAACACAAUUUUAAAAUUUCAAAAUGAUUGAUAAACUAAAAUGGAUUUGGGGGGUUCAGGUGAUCUUCGUGUAUUGGUGCGCCGGUUCAUGUGGGUGGUUUGGGCAUGGAUUUGGGGAGUUCAAGUGAUCUUCGUGUAUUGGUGUGCCGGUUCCUGUGGGUGGUUUGGGCAUGGAUUUGGGGAGUUCAAGUGAUCUUCGUGUAUUGGUGUGCCGGUUCAUGUGGGUGGUUUGGGCAUGGAUUUGGGGAGUUCAUUGUUUUUUCUGUCGCCGUCGGGUCUGUAAUUCAUGAACCCAAGACUCGUCCCUCCUUGUCAAGGGCUCAUCUCAGAGAGGUUACUCCUACACCAUGGGAGCCUCCUCACAAGUUCUCCGUCGUCGUGUCUGCAACAGGUGGCCUGUAAAACAAUCGUCUCAAGGAAGAUCAACAGUACCAUUAUCAAUGCAGCGAUUCAGAAAUAACGAGUUGUACUCGCAACCAAACAAUACUAUAUUAUAACAAACACAACUCGUCUUGGUGGUUCAAUAAUUAAUUAUUCAAGUAAAUCCAGGAUAUUGAUUAUCUUAGACACAGGUGCUACAAAUGGUGGCAUUUUAUUCUAUAUAUUGUAACUGGAUAGGUUCGGGUUCCUCAGGUGGUAUGUCAUUUAAGUUCAACUGAUUAUAUCUGAUUCCUACGUAAGCAUGAAUGUCGCCUGGCACUUGUGUAGCGCCCACUGCUGUGGUGAUCAGCCGAUUCAGUAGUCCUCGUGCGCAGGGAAUACAACAGCAGCUGAUAACAGUUAACACGGCUACUGCCAUUAUUCCCGCGAUGAGUACUGACUGGAUCAUACCUCUCCACCUACCAAACAGGUUCUCCGUCCAUCCAGCUAUUGGGUCACCAAUACCGGAGUUCUCGGCCAACUCCAACUUGAGGGAUUGCAGUCCAGCCAAUGCUCUGGCCACGGACCCAUCUG
ensembl:lncRNA